GAGUGCUACAGCUCUUUCAGAAUGUGUCUAGUAGGUUUUCUAGUUUCCACCAGAAAAUACCCCA
ensembl:snRNA U7 U7 small nuclear RNA